UACGGAAGGCAGCAGUGGGGAAUAUUGCACAAUGGGCGCAAGCCUGAUGCAGCCAUGCCGCGUGUAUGAAGAAGGCCUUCGGGUUGUAAAGUACUUUCAGUCGUGAGGAAGGUGUUAAGGUUAAUAACCUUAGCAAUUGACGUUAGCGACAGAAGAAGCACCGGCUAACUCCGUGCCAGCAGCCGCGGUAAUACGGAGGGUGCGAGCGUUAAUCGGAAUUACUGGGCUAAAGGGCACGCAGGCGGUUAAUUAAGUUGGAUGUGAAAUCCCCGGGCUUAACCUGGGAAUGGCAUUCAAGACUGGUUAGCUAGAGUCUUGUAGAGGGGGUAGAAUUCCAUGUGUAGCGGUGAAAUGCGUAGAGAUGUGGAGGAAUACCGGGUGGCGAAGGCGGCCCCUGGGACAAAGGACUGACGCUCAUGUGCGAAAGCGUGGGGAGCGAAACAGGGAUUAGAUACC
rnacentral:rRNA from 1 species